rnacentral:rRNA from 1 species
GACGGAGGAUGCAAGUGUUAUCCGGAAUCACUGGGCGUAAAGCGUCUGUAGGUGGUUACAAUAAGUCAACUGUUAAAUCUUGAGGCUCAACCUCAAAAUCGCAGUCGAAACUAUUCGACUAGAGUAUAGUAGGGGUAAAGGGAAUUUCCAGUGGAGCGGUGAAAUGCGUAGAGAUUGGAAAGAACACCGAUGGCGAAGGCACUUUACUGGGCUAUUACUAACACUGAGAGACGAAAGCUAGGGUAGCAAAUGGG